rnacentral:lncRNA from 1 species
GAAUUAUUACAGCAGCACAGGUAUAAACUGAGAAGGCUCUGAGGCAACUAGGAGGCAUGGUUGUCACCAAAGAAUGUCUGGGGUGGAAUCAACAGAGCUGCCAGCCCUGGAAGAGAACUAGUGGCAUUCUGUCAGCUUUCUGUUUCUUCGCCUUGGAACUAACAGCUUACACCCUCAUCUCCUUCAUCAAGUGAAGAAACUGCUGUGGGAGCAGACAAAGAACUCAUCCAGACAACCUGAUUUUAAAAUGGGCAAGAG